GAUGAACGCUAGCGGCAGGCUUAACACAUGCAAGUCGAGGGGUAACAGGGUUUAGUUUACUAGAUUGCUGACGACCGGCGCACGGGUGAGUAACGCGUAUACAAUUUGCCUUUUACUGGAGGAUAGCCCAGAGAAAUUUGGAUUAAUACUCCAUAGUAUUAUUUGGUCACCUGAUCGAGUAAUUAAAGUUCCGGCGGUAAAAGAUGAGUAUGCGUCCUAUUAGCUAGAUGGUAAGGUAACGGCUUACCAUGGCGACGAUAGGUAGGGGUCCUGAGAGGGAGAUCCCCACACUGGUACUGAGACACGGACCAGACUCCUACGGGAGGCAGCAGUGAGGAAUAUUGGUCAAUGGAGGCAACUCUGAACCAGCCAUGCCGCGUGCAGGAAGACUGCCCUAUGGGUUGUAAACUGCUUUUAUACAGGAAGAAACUUACCCACGUGUGGGUAACUGACGGUACUGUAAGAAUAAGGACCGGCUAACUCCGUG
rnacentral:rRNA from 1 species